CAAUCUGAGUUGGCCCAAAACGGAACCAUCAAGGCCCGGUCAAACGUUGACCUCCUAUGGAGGUGUCUGGGCCCUUGGAUCAGUGGACUUUGACCUGGUCAACAAAUCAAGAGAAAGGCUUGUGAGGAUGCACCAGCAUAUGGAGGGGGAUCCACACAGGAUCCCCUGGUUGACUCAAAAGUCAACCAAUAUGUGGCGCCUCUUGGAGAGAGAGAGAGAGAUCCAUUUGCUCACUCUCAUUCUCUCUCUUCGCUUCUAAAGCAAAGUUGCUCUGCAACUUCUUCCUCUUCUCCGUCACUCUCCUCACGGCCAAACCUGUCGGAGAAGACGGUGGCGGCCGGCCAACCGCGGCGGCGCCACCCUCUUCUCCGGUGACUCUCCACCCAAAUCCUAAAAAUCCAAACGUAUACCCCACCUCAUUUUGGCCGGAGGUUCCGGCCUCAGUCUUUUCAAAAUCCGCUUCAAUCAACCGGACCGGCGGUAAGAAAAUAAAAACCCUAAACCUAAAUUUGCGAUUCAACCGUCUAUGGUUACGCUUCGAAGAAAUUAACAUGGGGUUUUGAUUGUUUUGCAGUGACGAACAAAAAGCGAAUGGGUUUCAAGCAAGGAAAUGAGGGAAAGGAAUUACUUGGCUUGCGUCGCCGGUGAUGACGAGUUCCUCCACCGUGCUUCAGAUAAGUUUCUUUCUCUUUCUUAAUGCACUUCGCCUCCCUCUAUUCUUUCUUCUUCUUUUUUGUUUUGAAUGUUGUUGUUGCCUUAUUCGAAUGUUAGGGUUUUCAACAAAUUAUUUCUGUUUUCUUCUCCUUCGAUUCUCCUGUUAGAUGGUGUUUUUGUUUUUUAGGGUUUGGUGUUAAUAGAAAAUAUUUGUGAUCACUCCCUCCUGGAUUCUCAAAGCCGUGUUCUUUGUUUUGUUGUUUAGGGUUUGAGGUUAACAGAAAAAAUAUUUUGAUUGUUUUCUCUUGGAUUUUCCAAAAACGUUCAUGUUACUGUUAAUUUGUUGUUGUUAUAUAUGAUGAAUGCUUAGGUUCUGAGAUAACUUGUUAAGUUAUCUUUUUUCCAGAUUUUAUGGGAUGUUUACUCUGUGGAUUUAGAGUUGUUUAGAUUGGAUAUUGGAACGCAUCAUUGGGCGUUCACUUUGGUUCACUGUGCAAAAUAUCAGUUCAUUUCAUCAAUUGUUUUUCAGUUUUUCAUAAGUGCUUAUUUGAUAAGCCCUUCUUAAUCUUCUGAAUUGAUUUUGCAGGUUUUUACAAAAGUGAAGUGAUGUUGAUUGAAAAGAGGCUUGCGCCUGUUUUGGAGGUGGGAAUUGGGGCGUUGCAUCUUCAAACUCUUGGCUUUGGAAAUGUCCUUGAAAAGUUGUUGUUCAACCUGUUGGAUUUACAAUGUUUUCUACCUUUUUUCAAAUUCAUUUUGGUGUAACGGAACUUUUGGAUAAAGUGCAUUUGGAUUAUGUAUUGGUUGUUUGUAACAUGUACAUUUUUAAUUUGAGACCACUUUUGGAUAAUUAUGUAACCAUUUUAGAUUAUUUGAAAUAUUUUGGACUAUUUGGAAUA
rnacentral:lncRNA from 1 species